CUACGGGGCGCUGCAGUGGGGAAUAUUGCACAAUGGAGGGAACUCUGAUGCAGCAACGCCGCGUGGAGGAUGACGCAUUUCGGUGUGUAAACUCCUUUUAUAUAGGAAGAUAAUGACGGUACUAUAUGAAUAAGCACCGGCUAACUCCGUGCCAGCAGCCGCGGUAAUACGGAGGGUGCAAGCGUUACUCGGAAUCACUGGGCGUAAAGCGCAUGCAGGCGGUUAAAUAAGUUGGAAGUGAAAUCCUAUGGCUCAACCAUAGAACUGCUUCCAAAACUGUUUAACUAGAGUCUGGGAGGGGAAGAUGGAAUUAGUAGUGUAGGGGUAAUAUCCGUAGAGAUUACUAGGAAUACCAAAAGCGAAGGCGAUCUUCUGGAACAGUACUGACGCUGAGAUGCGAAAGCGUGGGGAGCAAACAGGAUUAGAUACCCUUGUAGUC
rnacentral:rRNA from 1 species